UUUCCUUUUGUGGUGCCUUGGAGAGCCAGGGCUGCACCCAGGGGCCUGAGAAGGACUGCACAGCACAUCCCCUGGAUGGUUGUAGUGACCUUUGCUCACAGAAACAGUGCCGCUGCCCAUCACACCCUCAUCCCUAUCUGCAGAGGAAGAGCUAGCCUUUCUUUUUGUUUUAGAGCCCUCACAGGUGGUCCCAGGAGGAAGUGGUCAAUGCUUGCCUGUGGCACCAACUUUUCCCUGUGUCGGUGGGAGUGUUCCUGAGGCUGCAGGUCAGCCAGACACCACCGGUCUUGCAGAGGGAAAAGACCAGGAAUGGGCUGCUUACUCUCUCAGCCCUACAGCGCACUAGACACAGUAUAGAACCCUUCUUUUCAAGAGCCUUGGAAGGUUUGCUGAAGCUCCAGCCCUCAACUGCUUCAUACAAAGUCCAAGGCUGGCAGGACUGCCAUCGCUCAGGAAGGUACUGCCCACUGCAGGCUCCCUGUGCCUGCCCUGAGUAUAGGAGAGUGGGCCCCUAAGCAGCCCAGAGCCUACUACUGACCCUGCUACUCUGAUCUUCCUUCCGUCUCAAGUCCUGGUAUUUACUGUGCCCUCCCCACCAAUUGCCCAAGGUGCUGAGAUGACAGAUGUUACAGGUAUUUGCCACCAUGCCUAAUGUGAUGUUGCC